rnacentral:lncRNA from 1 species
UUAGUGUGUGCAGGCAUAAAACUUUACCAGUGCGUGAUGGAACGCCUAGGCGUGGGGUUGGGACCUGGUUGUGUUCGAUUGGCGGCAGCGAGGCUACAGCUGUGUGACUCGCUCUGGUCGACUGAUGAGUCCUUGGGUGUUGCCAGUCAGAGACAAGCUGGACUUGAAUUCAGACCAUAUCUCGAGGCCUAUUCUUACAAAGACAAUUUUCCUGUGUAUGGUGGCACACACCUGUAAUCCCAACACUCUGAAAGACUGAGGCGUGAAGAUGGCAAGUUUGAACCCAACCUGGACGAUUUAAUGAUUUAAGUAAAGCUUAUCUUAAAGGAAACAAGUUAAAAAGAGUUGAGAAUGUAGGUCAGUUAAAAGUUCAAAGGCUCAAUCCCCAGUAUGGGGGUGGGGACCUCUUCUGCUUAGCUCACUGGACCAUUACUGUAUUUUGUGGAAUGGACUAAUUUUAGAAUCCCAAAGACAAGCUCUUUAAAUUUAUUGCUAUUUUAUCCUUUAAUAAAGGUAUCUCUACUUUCUACAAAAU